GACGAACGCUGGCGGCGUGCCUAAUACAUGCAAGUCGAGCGGACCAAAGGGAGCUUGCUCCUGGAGGUCAGCGGCGAACGGGUGAGUAACACGUGGGCAACCUGCCUGUAAGACUGGGAUAACAUCGAGAAAUCGGUGCUAAAUACCGGAUAAUAAAAAGAACUGCAUGGUUCUUUUUUGAAAGAUGGUUUCGGCUAUCACUUACAGAUGGGCCCGCGGCGCAUUAGCUAGUUGGUGAGGUAACGGCUCACCAAGGCAACGAUGCGUAGCCGACCUGAGAGGGUGAUCGGCCACACUGGGACUGAGACACGGCCCAGACUCCUACGGGAGGCAGCAGUAGGGAAUCUUCGCAAUGGACGAAAGUCUGACGGAGCAACGCCGCGUGAGUGAUGAAGGUUUUCGGAUCGUAAAACUCUGUUGUUA
rnacentral:rRNA from 1 species